UGGGGAAUAUUGGACAAUGGGCGAAAGCCUGAUCCAGCCAUGCCGCGUGUGUGAAGAAGGUCUUCGGAUUGUAAAGCACUUUAAGUUGGGAGGAAGGGCAGUAAGCGAAUACCUUGCUGUUUUGACGUUACCGACAGAAUAAGCACCGGCUAACUCUGUGCCAGCAGCCGCGGUAAUACAGAGGGUGCAAGCGUUAAUCGGAAUUACUGGGCGUAAAGCGCGCGUAGGUGGUUCGUUAAGUUGAAUGUGAAAGCCCCGGGCUCAACCUGGGAACUGCAUCCAAAACUGGCGAGCUAGAGUAGGGCAGAGGGUGGUGGAAUUUCCUGUGUAGCGGUGAAAUGAGUAGAGAUAGGAAGGAACACCAGUGGCGAAGGCGACCACCUGGGCUCAUACUGACACUGAGGUGCGAAAGCGUGGGGAGCAAACAGG
rnacentral:rRNA from 1 species